rnacentral:rRNA from 1 species
AUGCCCCUUCAGUGCUCGCUUUUGUCUUCCCCUGAUGUUCAUCGUCUCAAGGCUACUGACCUAGGAGUAGUCAUAUGCAAGUUCUGGUUAUCGCCCCUAUCCUCUUUCCUGCAGUCUGUACUUCCUGCUCAAUUUGGAAUGCAUGAUCAGAGAGAUAUGGCGAGGGAGGUGGCGAGGAAGUCGUUGGUGAUCUUGAAGAAUGGCAAGACGCCGAGCGAUGCACCGUUGCACCAACUGCCCAAGAUGCCGAGCGACGCGCAGCUGCUGCCGCUGCCCAAGAAGAUGACAAGCACAAAUGAUGGUUUGAUCUGUGUGCAGUUGCAUUGUUUAUUUCUUAAUCAGGGGAGAUCAUUUUUAUUAAUUAUUUUGACACGAACCCUAUGCUUUCUGUCAAGAGAUUGUUUUUGUAGUUGCCUAUUUAUUGUUAUCUACCAUUUUUUAAAUCUUCUGCAGCAUAGCAUGUGCAGUACUAUACUCCUAUUAUGCAAAGACUUCGGGAGGAUUAGCAGUUUCAAAUUCUACUAUCGAGUUGUUUGCUCUUUUUGA